rnacentral:rRNA from 1 species
GGCCGCGGGAAUUCGAUUCAGGCCUAACACAUGCAAGUCGAACGAACUCUGGUAUUGAUUGGUGCUUGCAUCAUGAUUUACAUUUGAGUGAGUGGCGAAAAAGGUGAGUAACACGUGGGAAACCUGCCCAGAAGCGGGGGAUAACACCUGGAAACAGAUGCCAAUACCGCAUAACAACUUGGACCGCAUGGUCCGAGUUUGAAAGAUGGCUUCGGCUAUCACUUUUGGAUGGUCCCGCGGCGUAUUAGCUAGAUGGUGAGGUAACGGCUCACCAUGGCAAUGAUACGUAGCCGACCUGAGAGGGUAAUCGGCCACAUUGGGACUGAGACACGGCCCAAACUCCUACGGGAGGCAGCAGUAGGGAAUCUUCCACAAUGGACGAAAGUCUGAUGGAGAAAGGCCGCGUGAGUGAAGAAGGGUUUCGGCUCGAAAUAUACGGGGUUAAAGAAGAACAUAUCUGAGAGUAACUGUUCAGGUAUGACGGUA